AGAUACUUAAAUAUAUUGCACGUUAAUGUCUAGGUGCCGUAUUUAAAACGACUCGAAUCAAUGUGCGCCCGAUCAUCAGCAAAUUAAUGAAAUUUUACAAAAAUUUCCAUUUACACACAAUUCUACCCGUUGCAAGGCAAAUCGGGCAUCGUCGGUAUGACACUGGCUCUCUGGUUAUUGCUAAUCUUGUUAAUUCCAACAGAGUGUUAUGAACGGAGACCGUUCAACACGCACGAUUAAGUGUUAAAAAUGCCACGAGCUAUUGAUGAAAAUACAACAACAACUAUCCUAUCCUAUAUAAGGACGUUACGGGUAUGCCAAAAUAAUAAUAAUGAUGACGACGACGAUGAUGAUGAUAACGGUUUAAAAACAAUAAUAACAAUAACAACAACAACAAUAGUAUAAUAACAACGUGUGAUAUUUUGUUAACAUAUACGAGUAGGAGUCAAACAAUUAUGGAUCAAAAAAAAAAUAUGUUGUAUUUGUUUUUUUAUAGUAUUCUCUGGAGCGCCUACGAUCUUCAGGAGCGAAAUAGCAAGUCAGAGUAGAAGAGGUCUCUAGCAGUCGUCAUUGUGCAAUAUUUGCCUUUAAACGCAAUUCAGUCAGACGCAGUCAGUUAGUUGUGCGGCUAUAGAAUUCUUUUCGAACGCGAAACGUGGAUGCUGUUGCAUGAAUGAAAACUCAUCUAAAAAAAUCCCGAAACGAAUAACUUUGUAAAAUAUGAACAACUAUGAAGGUUUUUUUCAUGCAAAGAGGAGACAUUCGCUCAGCACUGGGAAGCCGGCGUUCACGUUGCCAAAUCAACAACAUGUUGCAUUCGUUGCACAUGGCGGUUUCAGAUAUUGUCACAUAAAGCAACAAUUACCCACAUACAUGCAUAUCCUGCUCUAUUCCUAUUCUAUACGCACAGCGUGGCCUUUUCAUAUGCAGUGCAUACACUUAUGCAAUCGCGUGGUGUUUGGAAAUGAACCGUCACAUUGGCACGCGUUUCACAUAGUCUACCAACUCAUAACGUCACACAUUCGUUCGCAUUUCACAUAAAAACUUACAGAUUUUUAUUGUUACGUGUUACGUUUUAUAUUAUUUGGACUGCGAGCUCAAAACUAACAGAACGCAACAAUGCCAUAAAAAUGUUGUUAUGUUGUUCGCACACAAAUUGAUUCCGGCUAACAUUACUACAACUGUUACGAUUACUACUAUUCCUAUGACGGUACACAUAUAUACAAACUGUGGGGUAAACGGGGAGCAAU